UACGGAGGGGGCUAGCGUUGUUCGGAAUUACUGGGCGUAAAGCGCGCGUAGGCGGCUUUGUAAGUUAGAGGUGAAAGCCCGGAGCUCAACUCCGGAAUUGCCUUUAAGACUGCAUCGCUAGAAUCAUGGAGAGGUUAGUGGAAUUCCGAGUGUAGAGGUGAAAUUCGCAGAUAUUCGGAAGAACACCAGUGGCGAAGGCGACUAACUGGACAUGUAUUGACGCUGAGGUGCGAAAGCGUGGGGAGCAAACAGG
rnacentral:rRNA from 1 species